UACAGAGGGUGCGAGCGUUGUCCGGAAUUACUGGGCGUAAAGGGCGCGUAGGCGGCAUGGCAAGUCGGGAGUGAAAGCCCGGGGCUCAACCCCGGAACGGCUUUCGAAACUGCCAAGCUAGAGUACGGAAGGGGCAACUGGAAUUCCCAGUGUAGCGGUGAAAUGCGUAGAUAUUGGGAAGAACACCGGAGGCGAAGGCGGGUUGCUGGGCCGAUACUGACGCUGAGGCGCGAAAGCCAGGGGAGCAAACGGG
rnacentral:rRNA from 1 species